GGGGGUAGAUGGGCGCUGGUGUGUCCUCUGGUCUUCAAAACCAGUAUUAGUAGUGAAGAACUGCUUAGGUGGGUUCGAUUCCCACAUAUUCCCGCCA
rnacentral:tRNA from 2 species